AUUGAACGCUGGCGGCAGGCCUAACACAUGCAAGUCGAGCGGAGCGGCGGUCGGGUGAGUAAUGCCUAGGAAUCUGUCUGGUAGUGGGGGAUAACGUCCGCAAACGGGCGCUAAUACCACAACCUAUCAGAUGAGCCUAGGUCGGAUUAGCUUGUGGGUGUGGUAAAGGCCUACCAAGGCGACGAUCCGUAACUGGUCUGAGAGUAUGAUCAGUCACACGGGAACUGAGACACGGUCCAGACUCCGACGGGAGGCAGCAGUGGGGAAUAUUGGACAAUGGGCGAAAGCCUGAUCCAGCCAUGCCGCGUGUGUGAAGAAGGGCUUCGGAUUGUAAAGCAAUUUAAGUUGGGAGGCGUUACCAACAGAAUAAGCACCGGCUAACUUCGUGCCAGCCGCCGCGGUAAUAC
rnacentral:rRNA from 1 species